CAGUCGCCACGGUAAUACAGAGGGUGCAAGCGUUAAUCGGAAUUACUGGGCGUAAAGCGCGCGUAGGUGGUUUGUUAAGUUGGAUGUGAAAGCCCCGGGCUCAACCUGGGAACUGCAUCCAAAACUGGCAAGCUAGAGUACGGUAGAGGGUGGUGGAAUUUCCUGUGUAGCGGUGAAAUGCGUAGAUAUAGGAAGGAACACCAGUGGCGAAGGCGACCACCUGGACUGAUACUGACACUGAGGUGCGAAAGCGUGGGAAGCAAACAGGAUUAGAUACCCCUGUAGUCCCUGUCUCUUAUAU
rnacentral:rRNA from 1 species